GAAGCCCUCAGGGGCCUCUUACUCACUCACCCUUUCCUGUGUUGGGGAGCUUCUCCUGGCUCCGCGUUUAUCCCAGACAGGCUGCUGCCCAGCUGCACUCCUCUCUGUUCUCUGUGUCGGCUUGCUGCCUUGAUCGAGUCCGACACGGUUUCUUAGAUAUCAGCUUGUAGGGUCAGUGUUCACCAGCCCUUUGUCUCCUCCCUGUGAGAGCAGCGCGCAGGAGCUACUUCCAGGCCGCCAUCUUGACUCAACCCCUCUUAAUGAUUCCUGUGUCUCCGGCUUUUAGAACUGAAGCAGUUAUAAGAAUAUAGACAUAUUCCACUCAGUCGGAGUGUUCAUAAAGCGAUAUUAAGCACCAUACUAUAUCUCAGCAACAUGCAUAUGUUUGAAUGGAGUUCAUGAAAGAGAAAGACAGUUACCCAUAGAAAAAAACAACACUGAACUUGGGAAGACUUCAACCUCUUCACUCUCCAACCUCCACUCCCUUCAGAGGUAGAAUUUUUCUGAAAGGAUCAGGAAAAUGUAUUUUCUCUGCACAAUUUUCUCUCCAAGAAAAGCAUACUAAGAAUGUUUGCUUCUUAUACUCCACAUAGCCAUCAUCUACCACAGUCAUUCAUCUGGACUUCAAGUCUGCCCUGCUGGGAAGUAGGUCACCACCUCUACACUGGGCCACUGUCAAGAUCCAAAAUGUGCUAAAACUUAGUCACCACUCUAUUUGGUAGCAAUCCAAAGUGGACCAAAACAUUUCCUAAGUAAUACCAAGGUCAAAAAUAUAAUGUCGAUAUGUCAAAUUUUGAUCUCUGUGAGUGGAUACUAGUAAAUGGAGAGUUGUUAUGAGUAGGAUGAGAGGAAAGUUGUUGGUUGUUUCAUAAAAGCAAAGAAAAUUAAGGAAAUAAAAGUAAGCCAUCAACAAGUACAUGUCCAGCAUUAGGAGACAUACCUAAUGUAAAUGACAAGUUAAUGGGUGCAGCACACCAACAUGGCGCAUGUAUACAUAUGUAACAAACCUGCACGUUGUGCACAUGUACCCUAGAACUUAAAGUAUAAUAAAAAA
ensembl:lncRNA LINC01683 long intergenic non-protein coding RNA 1683